rnacentral:rRNA from 1 species
GAUGAACGCUGGCGGCGUGCCUAAUACAUGCCAGUCGAGCGAACGGACGAGAAGCUUGCUUCUCUGAUGUUAGCGGCGGACGGGUGAGUAACACGUGGAUAACCUACCUAUAAGACUGGGAUAACUUCGGGAAACCGGAGCUAAUACCGGAUAAUAUUUUGAACCGCAUGGUUCAAAAGUGAAAGACGGUCUUGCUGUCACUUAUAGAUGGAUCCGCGCUGCAUUAGCUAGUUGGUAAGGUAACGGCUUACCAAGGCAACGAUGCAUAGCCGACCUGAGAGGGUGAUCGGCCACACUGGAACUGAGACACGGUCCAGACUCCUACGGGAGGCAGCAGUAGGGAAUCUUCCGCGAUGGGCGAAAGCCUGACGGAGCAACGCCGCGUGAGUGAUGAAGGUCUUCGGAUCGUAAAACUCUGUUAUUAGGGAAGAACAUAUGUGUAAGUAACUGUGCACAUCUUGACGGUACCUAAUCAGAAAGCCACGGCUAACUACGUG